UGGACUAUAGACAAGCGGUUAAGUCACCGGCCUUUGACUCCGGUAUCUCUGGUUCGAAUCCAGAUAGUCCAG
rnacentral:tRNA from 6 species